rnacentral:rRNA from 1 species
AUCAACUUUCGAUGGUAGGAUAGAGGCCUACCAUGGUGGUAACGGGUAACGGGGUGUUAGGGCACGACACCGGAGAGGGAGCCUGAGAAACGGCUACCACAUCCAAGGAUGGCAGCAGGCGCGCAAAUUACCCAAUCCCGACACGGGGAGGUAGUGACAAUAAAUAACAAUACGGGGCUCAUUUGGGUCUCGUAAUUGGAAUGAGUACAAUUUAAAUCCCUUAACGAGGAACAAUUGGAGGGCAAGUCUGGUGCCAGCAGCCGCGGUAAUUCCAGCUCCAAUAGCGUAUAUUAAAGUUGUUGCAGUUAAAAAGCUCGUAGUUGAACUUCGGGGUUUACCCAUUGGUCAGGCUUAAUUGUCUGUACUGGUGAGAUAAAUCUCUACCUUCUGAGGAACUUUCAUGUCAUUAAUUUGGUGUGAUUGGAAAUCAGGACUGUUACUUUGAAAAAAUUAGAGUGUUUAAAGCAGGCUAACGUCUGAAUACAUUAGCAUGGAAUAAUGAAAUAGGACGGACUGAUUCUAUUUCGUUGGUUUCUAGGAUCACCGUAAUGAUUAAUAGGGAUAGUUGGGGGCAUUAGUAUUCAAUUGUCAGAGGUGAAAUUCUUGGAUUUAUUGAAGACUAACUACUGCGAAAGCAUUUGCCAAGGAUGUUUUCAUUAAUCAAGAACGAAAGUUAGGGGAUCGAAGACGAUCAGAUACCGUCGUAGUCUUAACCAUAAACUAUGCCGACUAGGGAUCGGACGAAGUUAAUUUUAUAAUGACGCGUUCGGCACCUUACGGGAAACCAAAGUGUUUGGGUUC